UCAGGCUGAUAGACAAUGAAGAGUGUGAGGAGAGCACUUACUCCAAGGACGCUGUGGCCGAGUUCAUGGCAGACGAUGUGAAGAAAGAGAAAAAGGAAGAAGAGGAGAUGCAGGAAGAAGACGCAGAUGACUUGCUGGAUCAGCUAUAGGAACAAUUUAAUAGUGAGAUAAAGACAAGCUGUAUCAAGGACAAGCUAUAGGGAAAAGUGACAGUGAAUAAGAUAAUUCAAUACUUCAACUUGCACAUGAGGAUGGCAAUGAUUCUGCAUUACAAGUUUAAUAGAAAUGGAAAAAAAGGUCAAUUUGUUUAAGUGUAAAUAGCUGUAGAAUAUAAAUUGUAUAUUAUGAGAAAAGACAACUUCACGAAACUCGGAAAGACGCCAAUAAUCAGCACCAGAGGUACAGGGUGUGUCUGAAAAUUUUUAUACAAAAUGUUGAUGAUACAUAAUACCUUUUUGCAGUCCCUAGAACUGUGGGUAUUUAUGACCCCGACGAACGAUUUCAUGUGUUCAUGUAGUAAUUGUCAAUAUAAAAUGUGGGUUUUUAAAACUUUGUUAUAAAUAUGUACAUGUACAUGGAUCUGUUCAUUGUGCUUAAAACAAGGAUAGAAAUUUA